CAGUAGCCGCGGUAAUACGGAGGGGGCUAGCGUUGUUCGGAAUUACUGGGCGUAAAGCGCACGUAGGCGGCUUUGUAAGUCAGAGGUGAAAGCCUGGAGCUCAACUCCAGAAUUGCCUUUGAGACUGCAUCGCUUGAACGUCGGAGAGGUGAGUGGAAUUCCGAGUGUAGAGGUGAAAUUCGUAGAUAUUCGGAAGAACACCAGUGGCGAAGGCGGCUCACUGGACGACUGUUGACGCUGAGGUGCGAAAGCGUGGGGAGCAAACAGGAUUAGAUACCCCGUAGUCCCUGUCUCUUAUACA
rnacentral:rRNA from 1 species